rnacentral:rRNA from 1 species
GAUGAACGCUGGCGGCGUGCCUAAUACAUGCCAGUCGAGCGAACGGACGCGAAGCUUGCUUCUCUGAUGUUAGCGGCGGACGGGUGAGUAACACGUGGAUAACCUACCUAUAAGACUGGGAUAACUUCGGGAAACCGGAGCUAAUACCGGAUGAUAUUUUGAACCGCAUGGUUCAAAAGUGAAAGACGGUCUUGCUGUCACUUAUAGAUGGAUCCGCGCUGCAUUAGCUAGUUGGUAAGGUAACGGCUUACCAAGGCAACGAUGCAUAGCCGACCUGAGAGGGUGAUCGGCCACACUGGAACUGAGACACGGUCCAGACUCCUACGGGAGGCAGCAGUAGGGAAUCUGCCGCAAUGGGCGAAAGCCUGACGGAGCAACGCCGCGUGAGUGAUGAAGGUCUUCGGAUCGGAAAACUCUGUUAUGAGGGAAGAACAUAUGUGUAAGUAACUGUGCACAUCUUGACGGUACCUAAUCAGAAAGCCACGGCUAACUACGUG